rnacentral:rRNA from 1 species
CUCCUUCUUGGUUGCGUAUGGGCAAGGCAAGUCUGGUCGGUCAUAGCGACGAAUUGGGGUAAGCCGGAGUGGAUACCGUCACACGACUCUUGUUUGGUGGAGUUGUGGACCACGCUGGAUAUGCAGAGGGAGGCGCAAAAGGAAAUCUGGACGGUGAUCCCUCUCGUGGCUUGGACUCUCUGGCGGCACAGGAAUGACAUUGUGUUUAAUGGGGCCACGCUGAGCAUUCAAGCGGUGCUUGAUUCGAUAAUGAGUGAAGGACACAACUGGAGGGCAGCUGGGCUCCUACGGAUAGACGGUUCACUUCCAACUAGGGUAGAUUCGGUAGACAGUAGCGAAUAA